UACAGAGGUCUCAAGCGUUGUUCGGAUUCAUUGGGCGUAAAGGGUGCGUAGGCGGCGCGGUAAGUCGGGUGUGAAAUCUCGGAGCUUAACUCCGAAACUGCAUUCGAUACUGCCGGGCUAGAGUCCGGAAGAGGCGAGUGGAACUCCUGGUGUAGCGGUGGAAUGCGCAGAUAUCAGGAAGAACACCAGCAGGCGAAGGCAGCUCGCUGGGACGGUACUGACGC
rnacentral:rRNA from 1 species